AACGAACGCUGGCGGCAGGCUUAACACAUGCAAGUCGAACGCGUGUAGCAAUACACGAGUGGCGCACGGGUGAGUAACACGUGGAUUAUCUGCCUUUUGGUUCGGAAUAACCCCGGGAAACUGGGGCUAAUACCGGAUGGUUCCUUCGGGAUAAAGAUUUAUCGCCAAAAGAUGAGUCCGCGUCCGAUUAGCUAGUUGGCGGGGUAAUGGCCCACCAAGGCUACGAUCGGUAGCUGGUCUGAGAGGACGAUCAGCCACACUGGGACUGAGACACGGCCCAGACUCCUACGGGAGGCAGCAGUGGGGAAUAUUGGACAAUGGGGGCAACCCUGAUCCAGCCAUGCCGCGUGAGUGAUGAAGGCCUUCGGGUUGUAAAGCUCUUUUGGCGGGGACGAUGAUGACGGUACCCGCAGAAUAAGCCCCGGCUAACUUCGUGCCAGCAGCCGCAGUAACAC
rnacentral:rRNA from 1 species